GUGGUGGUGUUCAGCCGCCGAUGAUGAAUCCACUCCCGCCCGGUCCUCCUCCUCCGCCGGGUUUGAUGAGCACGGUCCAGUCACAAAUGAUGAACGCUAACAACCAGGCUCAGAUGCUGAGCGGUCAUAGUCAGGCUAUGAACCAGCAGCCGAUGAUGAUGGCGGCGAUGAAUAAUCAGAGAGUGUACAAGCCAUGGAUGCAGCAGAA
rnacentral:lncRNA from 1 species